CUAGAUCGAGCAGUCAAAGGGAUCACGUCCUCCUCGUUCCUUCCACUCCCUCGCCUCCUCCUUCCUCCCCAUCCGGCGGCGCCUCCUCCCUCUUUCCCACGGCCUCCCGCAUCGCGCCGCCACCGGCUGGCUCCUCCUCCUCUCUUCUGGAUCGGGCGCAGCCGCCAUAGGAGAGCAUGGGCUCGAACUGAGUGAGGAAGAGGUGGUUUGCGGCCACGCGGGUGAGGAGGGCGGCCUUCCGCUGAACGCCACCGUCCUCUCCUCGCGCGCCCUCGCGGCCAGAAGAGGCAGAUAUGUACGGAGGAUCCACGAGCUUGGUGCCAUCCGUCCCGUCCGUCGACGCCCACCCCCUCUUCCCCAACGCGUAGGUGCUACAUUCACUUGCGUCUUCGCCGCCUCAAGUGUGCGGAUGCGACCACCAGCUGUUUGUAUAAAUGCUCAAGGAGGACUGCUCUGGGGAGGACAUCACGUGUGUUUGAAAGAGAGGGAUGGAAAAGAGGGGGCUGGAGUGAGAGGAGAAGAGGAAGGAAUUGAACCACAUGUUAUUUCUUUGUCAUCGACGUCAUCCCACCAUUGUAGAGAUUUUCUUGGAUGACAUGCGGCCCAUACUCUCCCCUUGUCCUCCAUCUCUGUUGGUACCCUUUCAUGGUUUCUUGUCCACUUCUUUCAUGAUUUAUUCUUUUCAAAUAGUAAUUCAGGCUGUUAUACUAAUUUGAUUGAUGUGGGUGGUGUAAUAAUUCAGGUCGUGCAGGAUGGUCUGCUAAUUUCCCUGAUGCUUCAUCAGGUUUCGCUUUUUGAUACAUUGAUUGAUUCCCAAUUUGAUGGAAAUAACCAAAAUGAAUGAAUUGAUGUGGCUGUUAUACUAAAUUUUCCUUAUUUUGUGUGUGAUUAUGCUCAGGUUUUGGAAGAAUCGGGCUAAGGGGUGAUUGUGCUCAAGUUUUGAUGUAGUGAGAUUCAGAUAAUUUUAAGAAACACAUGUAAAGGAGUCCAAACAGGAUGGGCUCGGUGUACAUGGUUUUCAGUUAAUGCAGUUUAGGUCUGACCAGC